GUCAUGUCGAAACCAGGAUUCUUAUAGUCUCCUUAACUAAAAGCUGGGCCUGCAGUGGAGUCUCAUUCUCCUCAGUCAUUAGAAGGCCUCUCUUUCAGGGUCUGUGACUAUAGACCUAAGCAGUACUGGCAUUUCUAUUACUUGCGUUCCACAUCCUUGUCCUGUGAAUCAACAUUGGCAUCUGUACAGGAAAUAUUUGCUGUGGUCUGAAGAUUAAAACAGAAAGGAGUGGAAGCCAGUCCAGGAGAUCCAGAUACAAAUAUCAGAAGAGGAAGUUUGCAGGAAAAGCCUGAGUGACUUUGAAAAUUAAGACAAGAGGAAGAUCCCAGUGUAAACACAAAGAUCAACAAAGCCUGAUCGAAUAAGCCACUGCAUGUGUCUUCUUACAAGGAACCACACACCCAUUUGCUUGUUUAAAUUGAUCAGCAUAUUCUCAUCUCAGAGAAGGAGAGAUGGUAUAUCAAAGCCCCCCGUGCAGACUGUGGGUUGGGAGGAGGAAGUAUUCUACAUUUGAGUGGCUAUCUUAAAAGAGAGCAUCUCGUUUUUGCAAGAAAAACCAAUUUCACUGUCA